GACAAUACAGCAAGGAGCUCCUUGCCAAAUGCCAGUGCCUCAAUACUGAACAUAGCCUAUAAAAAGUACCAGCAAGUGCCUUUGUCUUCAAAGAAAUGCUUUUCUUUCCAUCGUUUAAUCUAUGUUCUCCUAUGAGGAAUCCCAAGAAUAGGGUAAAAGCUCAGCAUGGCUUGCCUAGCACUAAUUGUACUUCUAUGGAUCACUGUUCUAACGUGCUGCAAGAAA